GGGCCGUUAGCUCAGUCGGUCAGAGCAGGGGACUCAUAAUCCCUUGGUCGCUGGUUCGAGUCCAGCACGGCCCA
rnacentral:tRNA from 5 species